UGGGGAAUAUUGGGCAAUGGGCGCAAGCCUGACCCAGCCACGCCGCGUGAGUGAUGAAGGCCUUCGGGUCGUAAAGCUCUGUGGGGAGGGACGAAACUACGCUGGCUAACAUCCAGCGGACUGACGGUACCUCCUUAGCAAGCACCGGCUAACUCCGUGCCAGCAGCCGCGGUAAUACGGAGGGUGCAAACGUUGCUCGGAAUUAUUGGGCGUAAAGCGCACGUAGGCGGUCCAGCAUGUCGGGUGUGAAAGCCCUCGGCUUAACCGAGGAAGUGCAUUCGAAACUACUGGACUUGAAUACUGGAGAGGAUCGCGGAAUUCCCGGUGUAGAGGUGAAAUUCGUAGAUAUCGGGAGGAACACCAGUGGCGAAGGCGGCGAUCUGGACAGAUAUUGACGCUGAGGUGCGAAAGCGUGGGGAGCAAACAGG
rnacentral:rRNA from 1 species